GCUGGGUGCAGUGGUCUACACCUAUAGUCCCAGCUACUAGAGAGGCUGAGGCAGGAGGACUGUUUGAGCCCAGGAGUUCUAGGCUGUCGUGUGCUAUGCUGAUGUCUACACUUAGGGUGUCCACACUCAGUUCAGCAUCAAUGUGGUGAUCACCAGGUUGCCUAAGGAGGGAUAAACCCACCCAGGUCAGAAACAGAGCAGGUCAAAACUCUCGUGCUGCUCAGUGUUGAGAUCGAGCCUGUGAACAGACAGUGUACUCCAAUCUGGGCAACAUAGCAAGACACCAUCACU
ensembl:misc_RNA Metazoa_SRP Metazoan signal recognition particle RNA